CAACAGCAUUUGCAAAAGCAUCUUUAAAUUUCAGUGAACAAGUUCUGUAGGAUGGGUUUACAGCUAAACUUACAUCACUAAUUUCUACAAAUAUUUCCCUGUUAAUCGCUGCCACAAUCACCCUUUCCAUUUGGUUGUGUUAUAGGCAGGAUUUUGGAAAAAAUUAAAAAUAACUCGAUAUAGAGACUAAUACAUUAACUUCUCUCUGAUUUUAAUUUCAUAUGCAGUUCAGGGGCUGAAGGCACCACAGUAUUUGCCAAAGCUGGAGAAACUUCAAGAUAUGGUUAUGCCCCUGUUGCUGCAUGAAAGGAGCAGUGACUUCUGGAAAUGGAUGGGCAGAAUUUGAUCUCUGGAUUCGAUCUCUGGCAGUGCUUGCCCUCUGGACAUACCUUGCUUAUGGCUCUUUGGAGAGGUGUUUAAGUCUGCAUCAAACAGUACGAGGAUGAGCAGGCCUGAGCCAUGGACCCAUGUAUGUGACUGCUGAGCCCAGGCUGAACUAUGAUACUACCUGGUACAGAGGAGGAAACGCACCAGGAGAGACUAAAAGACAACACUCUCCCUUCAAAGAGGAACCAGCUCUUCAUUGUGGUUCUUCAGCUCUGUGCUGUUUGGUGUCUGCUUAGAUUUCAUGUGUUUCUUCCUGUGGAUGAAAAGAAAUGA
rnacentral:lncRNA from 1 species